UGGGGAAUAUUGGACAAUGGGCGCAAGCCUGAUCCAGCCAUGCCGCGUGUGUGAAGAAGGCCUUCGGGUUGUAAAGCACUUUUGUCCGGAAAGAAAAGCUUCGGGUUAAUACCCCGGGGUUCUGACGGUACCGGAAGAAUAAGCACCGGCUAACUUCGUGCCAGCAGCCGCGGUAAUACGAAGGGUGCAAGCGUUACUCGGAAUUACUGGGCGUAAAGCGUGCGUAGGUGGUUUGUUAAGUCUGAUGUGAAAGCCCUGGGCUCAACCUGGGAAUUGCAUUGGAUACUGGCAGGCUAGAGUGCGGUAGAGGAUGGCGGAAUUCCCGGUGUAGCAGUGAAAUGCGUAGAGAUCGGGAGGAACAUCUGUGGCGAAGGCGGCCAUCUGGACCAGCACUGACACUGAGGCACGAAAGCGUGGGGAGCAAACAGGAUUAGAUACCCGGGUAGUCCCUGAGCGGGCUGGCAAGGCGCAU
rnacentral:rRNA from 1 species